GGGAAUUUAGCUCAGUGGUAGAGCGUUUGCCUAGCAAGCGCAAGGCCCUGGGUUCGGUCCCCAGCUCU
rfam:Rattus norvegicus chromosome 8, whole genome shotgun sequence.